rnacentral:rRNA from 1 species
UACGAAGGGGGCUAGCGUUGCUCGGAUUUACUGGGCGUAAAGGGCGCGUAGGCGGACACUUAAGUCAGGGGUGAAAUCCCGGGGCUCAACCUCGGAACUGCCUUUGAUACUGGGUGUCUUGAGUGUGAGAGAGGUGUGUGGAACUCCGAGUGUAGAGGUGAAAUUCGUAGAUAUUCGGAAGAACACCAGUGGCGAAGGCGACACACUGGCUCAUUACUGACGCUGAGGCGCGAAAGCGUGGGGAGCAAAC